rnacentral:rRNA from 1 species
GACGAACGCUGGCGGCAUGCCUAACACAUGCAAGUCGAACGGAACUUGUUGAAUGAAGUUUUCGGAUGGAUUUCGGCAAGUUUAGUGGCGGACGGGUGAGUAACGCGUGAGCAACCUGCCUCGGAGUGUGGAAUAACACAUGGAAACGUGUGCUAAUACCGCAUAAUGUUUUUGGAGGGCAUCCUCUGGAAACCAAAGGUUUAUCUGCUCUGAGAUGGACUCGCGUCCAAUUAGCUAGUUGGUGAGGUAACGGCCCACCAAGGCGACGAUUGGUAGCCGGACUGAGAGGUUGGCCGGCCACAUUGGGACUGAGACACGGCCCAGACUCCUACGGGAGGCAGCAGUGGGGAAUAUUGGGCAAUGGGGGAAACCCUGACCCAGCAACGCCGCGUGAAGGAGAAGGCC